GCCUGAAGAAGGAGCCGGAUGGCUAUUUUUAAAAUUCACAGACGACGGCAGCCAGUGGCUUGAGAAGGCCAAUGAAUCGUUAAAUUUUGAUGUCUUGGAGUCGCCAUUAAACCUGCAUUUAACUUGUUACUUCUGGGCGGUAUACGAGACAACUUGUACUGGAUUUAACACAAUUCAACCAACCAAUAUUUCACUUCUUUCGAUUCUCUAUUGGGGAAAUAUCAUCGCAAUGAUGCUUACAACUUACUACUCGGUGCGCGUGAUAAGCAUCCGGGCGAACGUGAACCAAGCCUUAGCUGGAUUUCAGGAGCACAUCCGAGAUAUUACAGACUUCAUGA